AUUUCUGAGAUGACAGAAAACCAUAAGCCUUUUGAAUUUCGAGGUAAUUCAGGUAUGAAUUACCUAAGUAGCUUCUAUCAACUGAGGGAU
rnacentral:sRNA from 1 species